CCUAGGCGCUCAUCGGAGCACAUG
rnacentral:siRNA from 1 species